rnacentral:lncRNA from 1 species
AGUCACAGAGAAAUCCUGACAGAAAUGCAGCCCUGGAGGAUGGAGCGGCCCUGCUCUUGGCUGGUUCCUGGCUCCUGUCCGCAUGGGGUGCCAUGGGCAGGCUGCGGCGGAGUGUGCUAGGAAGCAGGGACUAUACAAACUAGGAACAGCGAGAAGAGCUGAUUGGAAAUGGGUGCCAAGCUCAAACACGGCACCAGGAGAGGACGGCAGAAUCUCCGCUCCUGCCCCGGCUCUGCUGCUCUCAGGGCCGCAGACAGGGGACACACUUGCUGCCUUAUGCCCACAGGGCCCUCAAGCUAUGGAGUGGCUGUCUACCUUCUUGGAUCUGACCCUGUUCUUUGGUCAUCCCCAUUUUCCAUGAGAGCUGCUUGUCCCAGGAAUGGCUGGUUGGUGUCCACUCUUGGGCACACUUCUGAUUUUAUGAAUCACAGGCGCUGCCGGCCCAGUGCUUUGGUCCCUCCAUCUGGCUUCGUCUCUAGUACAGUAGCAGAGUACCUCUGUGAUCAAAAUACGUGGCCCAAACUUACUGUGAUUUUUAAACUCUGCAAAACUACAUUUUGGAGUUUCACAUUUAAGUUUUUAAAAGUUUAACUAAACCCCGCUUGAAACAAAAUUAUACUUUUCUCAAUUUAAAAUUAAAUAAGGAUCCAGACAUGGUGGUAUACACCUUUAUCUGCACCACUGGAGGGACAUGAAGAACGUGAGUUCCUGGCUAGCCUGGACGACACAGUAAGACCCAUCCCCAAACAAAAUUCAAAAAAGGAGCAAACAAUAACCUAAUAAAGGAAGAUUUGUCUGGAAGGACACCGGACAUAUACGAAGAGGAGGCAUGCUCAAAUAAAAAAACUAUGUGGAAAAAAA